AAAAAGGGGAUCAACUCCCUCCUGGUUCUGUCUUCACCAAGUUGACAUGCAAUAGAAGAUAACCUCCUAACAGAAUUCAACCUCAAUUGAAUAUCAUCAUUCUUCAGCUCAUCUAAUAUCAUUGGGUACAACAGCAAAUGCGCCAUUGACAGGUAUAUUGUGUUUCCCUUACAGCGGAAAUGUGUGUCGCCGGCUGCCGGAGACGUAAAG
rnacentral:misc_RNA from 1 species